UACGUAGGGUGCAAGCGUUGUCCGGAAUUAUUUGGGCGUAAAGAGCUCGUAGGCGGUCUGUCGCGUCGGCUGUGAAAACUCGGGGCUCAACUCCGAGCCUGCAGUCGAUACGGGCAGACUAGAGUGCGGUAGGGGAGACUGGAAUUUCCUGGUGUAGCGGUGAAAUGCGCAGAUAUCAGGAGGAACACCGGUGGCGAAGGCGGGUCUCUUGGGCCGUAACUGACGCUGGAGGAGCGAAAGCAUGGGGAGCGAACAGG
rnacentral:rRNA from 1 species